rnacentral:rRNA from 1 species
AUUGAACGCUGGCGGCAGGCCUAACACAUGCAAGUCGAACGGUAACAGGAAGAAGCUUGCUUCUUUGCUGACGAGUGGCGGACGGGUGAGUAAUGUCUGGGAAACUGCCUGAUGGAGGGGGAUAACUACUGGAAACGGUUGCUAAUACCGCAUAACGUCGCAAGACCAAAGAGGGGGACCUUCGGGCCUCUUGCCAUCGGAUGUGCCCAGAUGGGAUUAGCUUGUUGGUGGGGUAACGGCUCACCAAGGCGACGAUCCCUAGCUGGUCUGAGAGGAUGACCAGCCACACUGGAACUGAGACACGGUCCAGACUCCUACGGGAGGCAGCAGUGGGGAAUAUUGCACAAUGGGCGCAAGCCUGGUGCAGCCAUGCCGCGUGUAUGAAGAAGGCCUUCGGGUUGUAAAGUACUUUCAGCGGGGAGGAAGGGAGUAAAGUUAAUACCUUUGCUCAUUGACGUUACCCGCAGAAGAAGCACCGGCUAACUCCGUG